rnacentral:tRNA from 1 species
CGCGGCGGUGGCGGCCGGCAUGGUGCCGUUUGCGUUCGGCACGCAGACGGCGGGUUCGAUCAUUCGCCCCGCCGCGU